rnacentral:rRNA from 1 species
GGUUUUUUGAUUUGAUGAGAAAUCUAGCCUGCCCAAUGUUGGAUGAAUGGCCGCAGUAUUUUGACUGUGCUAAGGUAGCGUGAUAAUUAGUCUUGUGAUUUAAGGCUUGAAUGAAUGGUUGGACGAGGGAAAUUCUGUUUCUAAGAAGGAUAAAGAAAUAAAUUUUGUUGUGAAAAGGCAACUAUGAAGUUGAGGGACGAGAAGACCCUAUUAAGUUUAACAGAGAUUAUUGGGUUGGAAAUUAUUUUGGGUGGUGAUCUAUGGGUUUUUGUUUCGCUGGGGCGGUGUUGAUUAGAAAGAAUCUUUUGAGGAGAGGAGAUUAGUUACUGUGGAUCCAGAAGGUUAUUUUGAUAGUUGGAUUUAAUUACUGUAGGGAUAACAGCGUAAUAUUUUUGGAGAGUUCUUAUCGAUAAAAAAUUUUGUGACCUCGAUGUUGAAUAAAAUGUCUGUUUGGUGAAGGAGCUGAAUUGGAUGGUCUGUUCGACCAUUAAAGUUUUACA